AGGGUGCGAGCGUUGUCCGGAAUUACUGGGCGUAAAGAGCUCGUAGGUGGUUUGUCGCGUUGUUCGUGAAAUCUCACGGCUUAACUGUGAGCGUGCGGGCGAUUCGGGCAGACUUGAGUACUGCAGGGGAGACUGGAAUUCCUGGUGUAGCGGUGGAAUGCGCAGAUAUCAGGAGGAACACCGGUGGCGAAGGCGGGUCUCUGGGCAGUAACUGACGCUGAGGAGCGAAAGCGUGGGGAGCGAACAGGAUUAGAUACCCUGGUAGUCCACGCCGUAAACGGUGGGUACUAGGUGUGGGUUUCCUUCCUUGGGAUCCGUGCCGUAGCUAACGCAUUAAGUACCCCGCCUGGGGAGUACGGCCGCAAGGCUAAAACUCAAAGAAAUUGACGGGGGCCCGCACAAGCGGCGGAGCAUGUGGAUUAAUUCGAUGCAACGCGAAGAACCUUACCUGGGUUUGACAUGCACAGGACGCCGGCAGAGAUGUCGGUUCCCUUGUGGCCUGUGUGCAGGUGGUGCAUGGCUGUCGUCAGCUCGUGUCGUGAGAUGUUGGGUUAAGUCCCGCAACGAGCGCAACCCUUGUCUCAUGUUGCCAGCGGGUAAUGCCGGGGACUCGUGAGAGACUGCCGGGGUCAACUCNGGAGGAAGGUGGGGAUGACGUCAAGUCAUCAUGCCCCUUAUGUCCAGGGCUUCACACAUGCUACAAUGGCCGGUACAAAGGGCUGCGAUGCCGCGAGGUUAAGCGAAUCCUUUUAAAGCCGGUCUCAGUUCGGAUCGGGGUCUGCAACUCGACCCCGUGAAGUCGGAGUCGCUAGUAAUCGCAG
rnacentral:rRNA from 1 species